CCUACGGGAGUCUGCAGUGGGGACUAUUGCGCACUGGGCGAAAGCCUGACGCAGCGAAGCCGCGUGAGGGAUGAAGGUCUUCGGAUCGUAAACCUCUUUCAGCAGGGAAGAACGGUCACUGUGCUAAUCAGCAGUGAAUUGACGGUACCUGCAAAGGAAGCACCGGCUAACUCCGUGCCAGCAGCCGCGGUAAUACGGAGGGUGCGAGCAUUAAUCGGAAUUACUGGGCGUAAAGCGCUCGUAGGCGGUAUGUCAAGUCAAGGGUGAAAUCCCCGCGCUCAACGUGGGAACUGCCUUUGAAACUGGCAGACUGGAGUGUGUUAGAGGAUAGUGGAAUUCCAGGUGUAGGAGUGAAAUCCGUAGAGAUCUGGAGGAAUAUCAGUGGCGAAGGCGACUAUCUGGAACAUAACUGACGCUGAGGAGCGAAAGCGUGGGUAGCAAACAGGAUUAGAUACCCUAGUAGUC
rnacentral:rRNA from 1 species